CACGUAGGGAGCAAGCGUUGUCCGGAUUUACUGGGCGUAAAGAGCGCGCAGGCGGUCGUUCAAGUCGCGUGUGAAAGCCCCCGGCUCAACUGGGGAGGGUCACGCGAUACUGAUCGACUCGAAGGCAGGAGAGGGAAGUGGAAUUCCCGGUGUAGUGGUGAAAUGCGUAGAGAUCAUGAGGAAGACCAGUGGCGAAGGCGGGUCUCUGGACAGUUCCUGACACUGAGGCACGAAGGCCAGGGGAGCAAACGGG
rnacentral:rRNA from 1 species